GAUGAACGCUAGCGGCAGGCCUAACACAUGCAAGUCGAGGGGUAGAAUUAGCUUGCUAAUUUGAGACCGGCGCACGGGUGCGUAACGCGUAUGCAAUCUACCUUGUACAGGGGGAUAGCCCAGAGAAAUUUGGAUUAAUACCCCAUGGUAUAAUUAAUUUGCAUGAAUUGAUUAUUAAAGUUCCAACGGUACAAGAUGAGCAUGCGUCCCAUUAGCUAGUUGGUGUGGUAACGGCAUACCAAGGCGACGAUGGGUAGGGGUCCUGAGAGGGAGAUCCCCCACACUGGUACUGAGACACGGACCAGACUCCUACGGGAGGCAGCAGUGAGGAAUAUUGGUCAAUGGUCGGAAGACUGAACCAGCCAUGCCGCGUGCAGGAAGAAGCAUCUAUGGUGUGUAAACUGCUUUUGUACGGGAAGAAACACUCCUUCGUGAAGGAGCUUGACGGUACCGUAAGAAUAAGGAUCGGCUAACUCCGUGCCAGCAGCCGCGGUAA
rnacentral:rRNA from 1 species